GCGCGCGCUGUUGUCACGGUAAACACUCCGCCGGCUCGCGCUCUUAAACGCCUCGUGAGAAUUUCCCGGCGAUUUAAGCGCAUGCAAAAGCUGGGAUUACGUGUAUGUUCUGAACGAUGGUUUUAGACGUAAGCACCGUCUUGUAACACUCAAACGGAGGAAGAAAUCAAAGAGUCAUAUGAAUCCUUCUGUCCUGUGCUGCCCAGAUGAGCUCCAGAUUUUCCUGCGACCCAGACCUGAAUGAGUGAUGAGAAUAUGGAUGGAUGGAUGGCCAGCGUCCAAGUGAUCAAGCAGCCUGAUCCCAAGUAUUCUGCCCUGAGCCCAGAGCCUGCUGGGAACCUGGCGUGGGAUGGGUUAUGGGGCUGGGGCGAUGGACUUACUGUUCUCCGUCUUGAUGCAGAAGCGAUGCUUGAAGCCCUUGUGGGACUGGGAGCAGGUGACGACCUCGGGAUGGAAGCAGCCCACAUCGAUGGUUUUGCGGGUCGAGCCAACAUUGCAGGCAUAGCACUGUAGGCCUGUGACUGUGAAG